GAUGAACGCUGGCGGCGUGCUUAACACAUGCAAGUCGAACGGAAAGGCCCUGCUUUUGCGGGGUGCUCGAGUGGCGAACGGGUGAGUAACACGUGAGUAACCUGCCCUUGACUUUGGGAUAACUUCAGGAAACUGGGGCUAAUAUCGGAUAGGAGCUCCUGCUGCACGGUGGGGGUUGGAAAGUUUCGGCGGUUGGGGAUGGACUCGCGGCUUACCGGCUUGUUGGUGGAGUAGUGGCUUACCCAGGCUUUGACGGGUAGCCGGCCUGAGAGGGUGACCGGCCACAUUGGGACUGAGGGACGGACCAGACUCCUACGGGAGGCAGCGGGGGGAAAUAUUGCACAGUGAGCCGGAGCGUGAUGCGGCGACGCCGCGUGCGGGAUGACGGCCUUCGGGUUAUGAACCGCUUUCGCCUGUGACGAAGCGUGAGUGACGGUAAUGGGUAAAGAAGCACCGGCUAACUACGUG
rnacentral:rRNA from 1 species